rnacentral:siRNA from 1 species
CUGAUCUGGAAUGUCAGAUGC